GCCCCGAAGUCCGGGAUAGCCCACGGAAACGCGGAUUAAUACCGGACGUGGCUCGUACGAACUCGCGGUUCUAACAGUUAAAGAUUCAUCGCUUCGGGAUGAGCUCGCGGUCCAUCAGCUUGUUGGUGAGGUAACGGCUCACCAAGGCGACGACGGAUAGCUGGUCUGAGAGGAUGACCAGUCACACUGGGACUGAGACACUGCCCAGACUCCUACGGGAGGCUGCAGUCGAGAAUCUUCCGCAAUGGGCGCAAGCCUGACGGAGCGAUGCUGCGUGCCGGACGAAGGCCUUCGGGUCGUAAACGGCUGUCACUCGGGACGAAUUUUGACGGUACCGAGAGAGGAAGCCACGGCUAACUACGUGCCAGCAGCCGCGGUAAUACGUAGGUGGCGAGCGUUAUUCGGAAUUAUUGGGCCUAGAGGGUUCGUAGGGGGUAAUGUAAGUCCGGUGUGAAAUCUCGAGGCUCAACCUCGAAACUGCAUUGGAAACUGCAUUACUUGAGUGUCAGAGAGGAAAGCGGAAUUCCUGGUGUAGCGGUGGAAUGCGUAGAUAUCAGGAAGAACACCGACGGCGAAGGCAGCUUUCUGGCUGGCGACUGACCCUGAUGAACGAAAGCUAGGGUAGCGAACAGGAUUAGAUACCCUGGUAGUCCUAGCUGUAAACGUUGUGCACUGGAUGUGGGCGGAUUUGGUCCCGUCUGUGUCUGAGCGAAGGCGUUAAGUGCACCGCCUGGGGACUACGGCCGCAAGGCUAAAACUCAAAGGAAUUGACGGGGGCCCGCACAAGCGGUGGAGCAUGUGGCUCAAUUCGAGGCAACGCGAAGAACCUUACCUGGGUUUGACAUAUACCUGACCGCCGGUGAGAGCCGGUUUCUCUUUGAGCAGGUAUACAGGUGCUGCAUGGCUGUCGACAGCUCGUGCUGUGAAGUGUUCGGUUAAGUCCGGCAACGACGCGCAACCCACGCUGUUAGUUACCAUCAGGUAAUGCUGGGGAGUCUAACAGGACUGCCCGUGUUAAGCGGGAG
rnacentral:rRNA from 1 species